rnacentral:pre_miRNA from 1 species
ACAGGGCUCUGACCUAUGAAUUGACAGCCAGUGCCCUCGGCUCCCCUCUGGCUGCCAAUUCCAUAGGUCACAGGUAUGU